rfam:Oscillatoriales cyanobacterium 'hensonii' Contig_256, whole genome shotgun sequence.
GCUUCCGUGAGGAAGGGUCUGGAGGAAGCCAGCGGCAAACCUACAAGCUGACGGACAGAAACGUCAUAGAAGGCCGAGAUAGUCCUGGGGCGAGUUGGCACAACACAACAA